AACGAACGCUGGCGGCAGGCUUAACACAUGCAAGUCGAGCGCCCCGCAAGGGGAGCGGCAGACGGGUGAGUAACACGUGGGAAUCUACCCAUCCCUACGGAACAACUCCGGGAAACUGGAGCUAAUACCGUAUACGCCCUUCGGGGGAAAGAUUUAUCGGGGAUGGAUGAGCCCGCGUUGGAUUAGCUAGUUGGUGGGGUAAAGGCCUACCAAGGCGACGAUCCAUAGCUGGUCUGAGAGGAUGAUCAGCCACAUUGGGACUGAGACACGGCCCAAACUCCUACGGGAGGCAGCAGUGGGGAAUAUUGGACAAUGGGCGCAAGCCUGUUCCAGCCAUGCCGCGUGAAUGAUGAAGGCCUUAGGGUUGUAAAGUUCUUUCACCGAUGAAGAUAAUGACGGUAGUCGGAGAAGAAGCCCCGGCUAACUUCGUGCCAGCCGCCGCCGUAA
rnacentral:rRNA from 1 species